CAAUCAGCUGCGGAGACGCGGGGCCUGACUAAGGAGCAGUCCUUUGGCGCCGUCUGUUCCGGGCUGCGGGAUUGGAGGCGGUGGUCUAAGAAGGACAGCCAGGGCAACAGCUAGUCAGUCUCUCGCUUCUUGUCUUCAGCAUUCCUGUUUCCGAGCGCCUCUGAAGGCGCACGCUCUGGACCUGUUCAAAAGAGGGAAGGGAACCGGUCUGUAACUCCCACAAUUCCCGAGGUUCCCACUUCUCCAGAUCCGGCAAGGCUGUUUCGCUCCAGUGGCCGGGUCUAAUCCCUGGCCCCUGCACCCUCAGCCUAGUCGUUCUUAAUCAUAAGUGCUAAAGGGAGCAAAGGAGGAAAACUCAAGAAUCCACACAUAAGCCCAAACCCUGACAUUAGUCUUUUCCCCUCGCAUCUCCCGCCUACACUGCCUCCUAGUAGCUUUUUAACCAGAACUGCUGAAUGGCGUGUAAGUUACUUUCACUGGUUGAAUUAAACGCAAAAUAGGUUUAGGCUGAGAUAUGGGUAAGGGCCUUGGCGAUCUGAGAAAGAAAGACUGAGUCCGGAUGUCAAGAGGCCUGGGCCUCACGAGGGAAGUUUCUCAGCUUAUUUGAACACCGCAGAGUUGAAGAUCUUGUUACUGCUAUUUCUGUGCUGGUGAAUCAGUAGAGACCUUGAUGCCAAGUUUCACUCUGUCAUCCAGACUGGAAUGCAGUUGCACAGUGUCGGCUCACUACAACCUUUGUGUCUCAGGUUCAAAUGAGUCUUCUGCCUCAGCCUCCUGAGUAUCUGGAACUACAGUGUCCAGAUACAAGGAGGCCUGGCUCUCUUGGAACUCAUGCUUUGAGGAUGCCCAAGCAGCUCAUGAAAAGGAAUCAAGACUUGGGUCUGAAGAAGCACUCUGGCAAUAGCCAGUACCAACUUUACAGCUAUGUGAGUGAGAAAUCUUGAAGGUCAAAUUACAAUUCCUAAUGUUGGAGGUGGAGCCUGGUGGGAGGUGACUACAUCACUUCAGUGGAUUUCCCUCUUUGGUGCUGCUCUUGGGAUAGAGUUCUCACGAGAUCUGGUUGUUUAAAGGAGUGUGGCACCUCCCCCACCUCACUCUCAUGCUUCUGCUUCAGCCAUGUGAGACGAGCCUGCUUUCCCUUUGCCUUCCGUCAUGGUGAGACAGUGUUUUGCCAUGUUGCUGAAGCUGGUCUCAAACUCCUGGACUCAAGUAAUGGAACCACCUACCUCAGUUUCCUAAAGUUCUGGGAAUACAAGUGUGAGCCAGUGUGCCUGGCCAGUAUUCUUUUCUUUUUUAACCUCUAUAUCUUCAGUGUGUAGAAGAGUACUUGAACAAAAGAGGCACUCAAGAACUAUUGCAACAGUGACUGACACGGGGUCAAUGCUCUAUGGAGUCUCGCUCUGUCGCCCAGGCUGGAGCGUAGGGGUGCACUUGGCUCACUGAAACAUCCACUUCCCAGGUUCAAACGAUUCUCCUGCCUCAGCCUCCUGAGUAGCUGGGACUACAGACCAAUGUUUGAUGGGACUUAGGUGGAAGGAGGCCUGUGAAAAAAGAUGGAAAAAUGAGAAGCCCCAAAUUUUCAACCCUUUCAAAUUUAUGAAAAUGACAAAGGAAUCAAAGCCCUUUCCAACUGGAGACUCCUGAAGAUGAAUCAGCUCAAUGGAUGACACCUUGCAAGAUGAUCUGCCUCCUGGGCUUCUGCAGAUAUAAAAAAGAAAAUGAAUGAGAAGGUGAAAAAGAAGAAGGAGUAGAGGCAGGAAAAAAAGACAAAGAAGAAGAAAGGAGGAGGAAGAAGAG